ACAGAAGCCUGGACGCCGGCGGCGAGGUUGUAGUGCACGCGCGUUAUGGUCGUUACACGGCGCGUGGGGUCUUGCCGUCUCCCUCAACUGCUCCAGGCUCAGGUUGCGCACUCAGUGUCCGCAGUGAGAUGGGCACAGUCGAUUAAAUCACAUUAAAUACAAGUCUUUUUUUUUUUUAGACGGAGUCUAAAAAAUAAUAUGGUCAUAAAUAGCUGGGCACACUGCAAACUGGAACAGUCCCUUUCAGAAGGAAAUUUGUGUUUUUGUGUUGUUUUUUGAGACAAGGUUUUUUCUUGUUUUUUGUUUUUUUGAGACGGAGUCUUGCUCUGUCGCCCAGGCUGGAGUGCAGUGGUGUGAUCUCGGCUCACUGCAAC
rnacentral:lncRNA from 1 species